UAAUCACUUCAGACACUAUUACUCCCUCAGCUUUGCGCCAAACCCUAAAGCAAUGCCUCCCAAAGCAGCUAAAUCCCUAGAAACAACGAACUCGCCUUCAACCUUCUUCUUCAAACCAAGUCCCCCUCUCUCUCUUGCUCUCUCUUUGCUUUUUUGCCUGAUUUUUUUUUUUGUUUUUUCUUAGAAAAAAAUUGUUUGCAUUUAUUUGCAUUUUUCACUUUCUCUUCUGCAUUUCAGUUACGUUUUCUGCUCGUUUACUCAGAAAAUGAUACCACUUUUUUCUCUCUGUUAUCAUUUUCUAACGUUCAACUUUCUCUUUUGCUGCAUUUCAUUUUCCAUGUAUCCAAACAAGCUCUUUUAAUUAAAAAAAAGUUCAUUGAGCUGUUAUUAUUAUUAUUAUUAUUAUUAUUAUUAUUAUUAUUAUUAUUAUUAUUAUGGUUAAUUUUCAUACUAAAAUGACGACUUAGAAAGGGGCUUCACCUAAAUAGGGUAGGGAACUUUAUUAACAAUUAUUAUUAUUUUGGGGUAAUUCCUGAUGAGUCCCUGGAUGGUUGGAGUCUUAUUGUUUCAACGAGGCAAGUGGGUGUUCCAGAUCCAUCAUCGAAGCUGGAAAUACAUAUUUCCAGGAUUUUAGGCAGUUUUUCUUAGUUGUUUUAUGGGCUUAAAUUGAAGCCGUUUAAGAUCUUCUACUCCGUUUCACUCCAAGCCUUUGUUUCGUAGACAUCUUCAAUCCAUGAAGUUUAUUUCCCUCAAUUGGAUUCACCUCCACCAAGAUGGGUUCAUUUCGCUCAUGGGUUACUUCUAUUUUUUAUAUCAGACUUUUGAUGCUGUCGAUUGGAAGCAAGCAAGAAGAACAAACUCCUCUAGUCCCCUCGGAGAACUUUUUGACCAUGGGUGCGAUGCGCUUGCAUGUGCGGUACAUGUAUUUAACUUGUUGCGUUGCAUGACAAAGGCUAAUGGAAUUCCUCAUUAUAUAAGAUUUGAUUCUUUUCGUAGUUCGAAACCAUGGCCUUUGGGAGCACUGCUAUGUGUGGAAGGGACAGUUUCUGGUUCUGGGUAAUUUCAGCUGUUCCAUUUUACUGAGCUACAUGGGAACACUAUUUCACCAAUACGCUGAUCCUUCCCGUAGUUAAUGGGCCAACUGAGGGUCUUGCUCUGAUAUAUGUAAUGCACUUUUUGACAGGAUUUUUGGUACAAAAAUCCAUUUGAUUCCUUCUUUUAUUAUUAGGGCUGAGCUUCUUAUGUUUGAAACGCGGGAGACGAAAAGAAAAAUAUCUUUGUUGCCUUUUGGCCUUACUUGAUCUGAUUUUUUGAUUCCUUUGCAAAUCAAAUUUCUAAGCUUUUGAUCUCUGCUUCAAACAGUUAGUGAAUCCGGAGAGUGGCUAUAAUUAUAGAGCUGUCAAAAGAUGGACUUCACAAAGGAAGCUGGGUUACUGCCUAUUGGACUGUGAUAAAAGCUUGUCAUGGAAAAGGGAUUUCUUGAUAAAGUGGAAGACAAUGCGGCUGUGUGAAUAUGGUCCGAGAAAAGACAAUAAGAGAAAGACGACUGCCUGUCAGAGGGGAACAUGUCGGAAUUAUGGGAUUUCACCCGCAUUAGUGUGACUCAGAAUAAUCUUCAAGAGCAGAAAGAAAUUUGGGAUUAAUGGGAUGAUGAAAUCAAACAAUUAUUCUACCAUGAAUAUGGUGAUUUGCCUUAUCUACUCGAUGUCAAAGUGGAUAAGUACCUAUUCCGAGCUCUCGCUCAGUAUUGGAAUCUUGCCUAUAAUUGCUUCACUUUUAGGAAACUAGACCUAGUGCAAACCGUAGAAGAGUACACCACUUUGCUCCGUUACCUAAGGAUCUAAAUCAACAAAGCCUACUCUAGAGUCGCCAAUAUCCCGACUGUCUUAAAGAGACUAAUGAACAUAAUUGGGAUGAGCGAGCAAUGGGUUGCGACUCGGAUUAAACAAAAAAGAGAUAGUAAAUGCAUCAAUUGGAAAAGUCUGAGGGAUUUGAUCUUGGUACAUCCGGAUACGGAAAAAAUGGUCGACAUUUUCGCCUUCAGUAUUUAUGGGUUGGUCAUCUUCCCCAAAGCACUAGGGCAAGUAGAUGAUACAAUUUUAGAUCUAUUUGACCGACUUGACAAAAGGGUCACUCCAGUCCCGGUAAUUUUGGCUGAAACUUUUAGAUCUUUAAGUGCAUGUUAGAGAGCGGGUGAAGGAAGAUUUAUCAGAUGUGCACAGCUCUUGCUAGUCUGGUUUCAUAGCCACUUCUAGAAGAUAGAAAAAUUCUCUUAUCGAGUGUUCUCCAAAAACUAUUCUCCGCUGAAAGAAUUUAUGGCUAUCCAAAGACAAGACAAAAUUUCUGAAGAAAAGUGGAUGGCAAUUCUCCAGAGUCUCAAAGACGAAAAUGUUGAAUGGAGGGCCCCUUGGAUGAUCCUUGAUAAAAUUUUGUACCGAUGUGGAGACUUUGACUGGGUCCCUUUUCUCGGGAUAUAGCGAGUUGUUGGAUAUGCCCUUCUACUUGUAUUGAGACAGUAUAGGUUGAGGCAGUUUAUUCCGGUAGCGCAAUGGUUGGCUUAAUGUGAGUUUGCAUACAAAGGUGACAAUUACAAAAAGAAGGUUCGUAAAAUUUCGAACGCAUAGAACCAAACUCACAAAAUGAAAAGAUUUGCCGCAAAUCCCAUGACGACCCUAGAAUACGAUUGAUGGUGGGGUAAAAGAAUCAAUGACAAUGUCCUUUCGUCAAGUUAAGAAAGUAUCCGACUGAUAAAAGAACACUUGCAAGUGAUCCCGUCUGAAUUAGAUAUCAUAAAGCAAGACUUUGAAAAGAAGAGUUCGGAGUUGGGAAAAAGGAUAAAGAAGUUAGAAGAGGAAAAAAUUCAGCCCUAAAUACGAAUCAGAAUCAGAUCGGGGCCAAGAAUUAGAUUGGCUUCUUAGGAAAGUUAAGGUUUUGGGUAUUAGGGCAAGGUCAUAUAUGUAAAAUGUAUCCGUUUUAUGUAAAAAAAAUUAUUUUCUAGUAAAGUUAUUCUAAUUGAGUUGAACCAGAAUCAAUGCUUUUUUUUGCAUUUAUUCAUUAGCCUUAAA